AGACCGAGCGGGCUCCAUCCG
rnacentral:miRNA from 1 species